rnacentral:rRNA from 1 species
GGGGAAUUUUGGACAAUGGGCGAAAGCCUGAUCCAGCAAUGCCGCGUGUGUGAAGAAGGCCUUCGGGUUGUAAAGCACUUCUGUCCGGAAAGAAAUCCUCUGGGUUAAUACCUCGGGGGGAUGACGGUACCGGAAGAAUAAGCACCGGCUAACUACGUGCCAGCAGCCGCGGUAAUACGUAGGGUGCAAGCGUUAAUCGGAAUUACUGGGCGUAAAGCGUGCGCAGGCGGUUUUGUAAGACGGAUGUGAAAUCCCCGGGCUUAACCUGGGAACUGCAUUCGUGACUGCAAGGCUAGAGUAUGGCAGAGGGGGGUAGAAUUCCACGUGUAGCAGUGAAAUGCGUAGAGAUGUGGAGGAAUACCGAUGGCGAAGGCAGCCCCCUGGGCCAAUACUGACGCUCAUGCACGAAAGCGUGGGGAGCAAACA